rnacentral:rRNA from 1 species
UGAGUAACACGUAGGUAACCUGCCCCGGAGCGGGGGAUAACAUUUGGAAACAGAUGCUAAUACCGCAUAACAACAAAAGCCACAUGGCUUUUGUUUGAAAGAUGGCUUUGGCUAUCACUCUGGGAUGGACCUGCGGUGCAUUAGCUAGUUGGUAAGGUAACGGCUUACCAAGGCGAUGAUGCAUAGCCGAGUUGAGAGACUGAUCGGCCACAAUGGAACUGAGACACGGUCCAUACUCCUACGGGAGGCAGCAGUAGGGAAUCUUCCACAAUGGGCGCAAGCCUGAUGGAGCAACACCGCGUGAGUGAAGAAGGGUUUCGGCUCGUAAAGCUCUGUUGUUGGAGAAGAACGUGCGUGAGAGUAACUGUUCACGCAGUGACGGUAUCCAACCAGAAAGUCACGGCUAACUACGUGCCAGCAGCCGCGGUAAUACGUAGGUGGCAAGCGUUAUCCGGAUUUAUUGGGCGUAAAGCGAGCGCAGGCGGUUGCUUAGGUCUGAUGUGAAAGCCUUCGGCUUAACCGAAGAAGUGCAUCGGAAACCGGGCGACUUGAGUGCAGAAGAGGACAGUGGAACUCCAUGUGUAGCGGUGGAAUGCGUAG